UGCUAUACAUGCAGUCGAGCGGACAGAAGGGAGCUUGCUCCCGGAUGUUAGCGGCGGACGGGUGAGUAACACGUGGGUAACCUGCCUGUAAGACUGGGAUAACUCCGGGAAACCGGAGCUAAUACCGGAUAGUUCCUUGAACCGCAUGGUUCAAGGAUGAAAGACGGUUUCGGCUGUCACUUACAGAUGGACCCGCGGCGCAUUAGCUAGUUGGUGAGGUAACGGCUCACCAAGGCGACGAUGCGUAGCCGACCUGAGAGGGUGAUCGGCCACACUGGGACUGAGACACGGCCCAGACUCCUACGGGAGGCAGCAGUAGGGAAUCUUCCGCAAUGGACGAAAGUCUGACGGAGCAACGCCGCGUGAGUGAUGAAGGUUUUCGGAUCGUAAAGCUCUGUUGUUAGGGAAGAACAAGUGCAAGAGUAACUGCUUGCACCUUGACGGUACCUAACCAGAAAGCCACGGCUAACUACGUGCCAGCAGCCGCGGUAAUACGUAGGUGGCAAGCGUUGUCCGGAAUUAUUGGGCGUAAAGGGCUCGCAGGCGGUUUCUUAAGUCUGAUGUGAAAGCCCCCGGCUCAACCGGGGAGGGUCAUUGGAAACUGGGAAACUUGAGUGCAGAAGAGGAGAGUGGAAUUCCACGUGUAGCGGUGAAAUGCGUAGAGAUGUGGAGGAACACCAGUGGCGAAGGCGACUCUCUGGUCUGUAACUGACGCUGAGGAGCGAAAGCGUGGGGAGCGAACAGGAUUAGAUACCCUGGUAGUCCACGCCGUAAACGAUGAGUGCUAAGUGUUAGGGGGUUUCCGCCCCUUAGUGCUGCAGCUAACGCAUUAAGCACUCCGCCUGGGGAGUACGGUCGCAAGACUGAAACUCAAAGGAAUUGACGGGGGCCCGCACAAGCGGUGGAGCAUGUGGUUUAAUUCGAAGCAACGCGAAGAACCUUACCAGGUCUUGACAUCCUCUGACAACCCUAGAGAUAGGGCUUUCCCUUCGGGGACAGAGUGACAGGUGGUGCAUGGUUGUCGUCAGCUCGUGUCGUGAGAUGUUGGGUUAAGUCCCGCAACGAGCGCAACCCUUGAUCUUAGUUGCCAGCAUUCAGUUGGGCACUCUAAGGUGACUGCCGGUGACAAACCGGAAGAA
rnacentral:rRNA from 1 species